rnacentral:rRNA from 1 species
UACGUAGGGUGCGAGCGUUGUCCGGAAUUAUUGGGCGUAAAGAGCUUGUAGGCGGUUUGUCGCGUCUGCUGUGAAAAUCCGGGGCUCAACCCCGGACUUGCAGUGGGUACGGGCAGACUAGAGUGUGGUAGGGGAGACUGGAAUUCCUGGUGUAGCGGUGAAAUGCGCAGAUAUCGGGAGGAACACCGGUGGCGAAGGCGGUUCUCUGGGCCUGUACUGACGCUGAGGAGCGAAAGCGUGGGGAGCAAACAGG